UAGGGAAUCUUCCGCAAUGGACGCAAGUCUGACGGAGCAACGCCGCGUGAGUGAAGAAGGAUUUCGGUUCGUAAAACUCUGUUGUUAGAGAAGAACAGCGCAUAGAGUAACUGUUAUGCGUGUGACGGUAUCUAACCAGAAAGCCACGGCUAACUACGUGCCAGCAGCCGCGGUAAUACGUAGGUGGCAAGCGUUGUCCGGAUUUAUUGGGCGUAAAGCGAGCGCAGGCGGUCAAUUAAGUCUGAUGUGAAAGCCCCCGGCUCAACCGGGGAGGGUCAUUGGAAACUGGUUGACUUGAGUGCAGACGAGGAGAGUGGAAUUCCAUGUGUAGCGGUGAAAUGCGUAGAUAUAUGGAGGAACGCCAGUGGCGAAGGCGACUCUAUGGUCUGUAACUGACGCUGAGGCUCGAAAGCGUGGGUAGCAAACAGG
rnacentral:rRNA from 1 species